rnacentral:rRNA from 1 species
GACGAACGCUGGCGGCGUGCCUAAUACAUGCAAGUAGAACGCUGAAGGAGGAGCUUGCUUCUCUGGAUGAGUUGCGAACGGGUGAGUAACGCGUAGGUAACCUGCCUGGUAGCGGGGGAUAACUAUUGGAAACGAUAGCUAAUACCGCAUAAGAGUAGCUGUUGCAUGACAUUUACUGAAAAGGUUCAAUUGCAUCACUACCAGACGGACCUGCGUUGUAUGAGCUAGUUGGUGAGGUAACGGAUCACCAAGGCAACGAUGCAUAGCCCACCUGAGAGGGGGGUCGGCCAGCCUGGGACGGGGACCCGGCCCAGAGUCCCUCGGGAGGCACCCGUAGUGAAUCGUCGGCAAGGGGCGGAAGUCUGACCGAGAAACGCCGAGUGAGGGAAGAAGGUUUUCGGAUCGUAGAGCUCGGUUGUAAGAGAAGAACGAGUUUGAGAGUGGAAAGUUCACACUGUGACGGUAACUUACCAGAAAGGGACGGCUAACUACGUG